UUAUAUCUUGGUACCUCGAGCACGUCCUUUAAGCUCUAAAAAAGCACUGAUGAUGGAAUUGUUAUUCCGAAAACGUCCUGUGAUGUGCCCUUUUUAGAGAUUUUAAUAAAAUUUACUUUUUACAAAGGAUUUUAGUAAUUUUGUUUACAACUUAGCGCAAGUCUACAACUUACAACUUAGCGAAUCGUCUAUGUACUUUAUGUAUAGAUACCUCCUUCCCUUCACCACUAACUUGUGUGUAAUGUGACGUCAUAUCGAUAUCGACAAUGUUAAUUUUUCCUUUAUAACACUAUAUUUUCCUUUAUUAAUAAUAUGUUUUUCGUUUCAGAUAUGUAUUACAUGGAUGCCUACUGUUUGGCUUGAAGGAAUUCCAUAAAGGGUGGAACAAGCUGGAAGACAAUGUGAUAAUCAGCCGGUCCGACCAGUAAAUAUUUCAGACAUUUGCCAGAUAAAACUGUAAAUAACAUGUUGAUGAUUAAGAAGCGUAACACUUCGUUCGUCACAAGUUUGUCACAUUGCUAUUUACGUCCGACAUUUUAUAGAAGAGCUUGUCUAGAUAAUUUACCCAUGCGUACGGGUCGUCACUGAUGGCCGUCAACGGCUUAGCGUGUACAGCCCAGUUCCGCCGAGAUUCCGGCUGGCGCAUUUCUGGCUGUCGUUAUGUCAAGACGUUACUACUGUACACCCUUCUGCUUAGCACAACUUUUCCCGGAUUUCUCAGCCCUGCCAAAGCGGACUUUGAGCCCAUUCCUCUAUCAGAUUCCAUUAAUGAAAAUGACGCCA
rnacentral:lncRNA from 1 species